rnacentral:misc_RNA from 1 species
GCGCAGUAAAAAAUACUUAUAAAGCAUCAACAGCAAAAUCAUAUCGUAUAUACCAAAUUCAUUUAUCAAUGUUGCUAUUUAUUAAAUAUUAAAAGAAGAGUAUGUUUUUAAAAAGUGUGGAGUUUCUAUUGCUAAUGAAUGUACUUUUCGUAAUCCAGAAUUUUGUAUCAAGUGAAAUAACUCAACUUAACAAAAGUUUGAUUGAAUCAAAGGUCUCUAAUGAGUCAAGUAUUCAAAACAUCAACAAAAGUUUAGAAAAAAUUUCAACUGAAAAGUCUUUCAAGAAAAUUGCAGUGAGCAAUAAACCUGAUGAGGCAGAAAACAAUUUAUUUUUUUUAAAUAAAUCACUUGAAAAUUUUUCAGAUGAACCAGAAUCUUUACUUCAACUUAAGAAUAUUAUUGCUGGUAUAAAGUUUUUUAACAAAACAGAUUUAAUCAAGCAUAUGAUAAAUAAUUUUAGUGAAGGAAUAAAUUUUAAUGAAAUAAAAAAAGAAAUAAUUGGAAAAGAGUCUGUAGAUGUAGAUGUAGAUAGUCUAAAUUUGUUAAAUGAAAAGUUGUUUGCAAGCAAAAGAUUUAUUCAAGAUGAUCACAAUAAUCUUCCAUUAGUAAAACUUAGAAAAUUGCAAAAAUUCUUUAGAAUUUCUCAAAUAUUACAAGAGAAAAAUAAGUCAUUUGAUCCUCAAAGUAGAGAAUCAGAUCAGUUAGGAAAAAAAAUUAAACUCCAACAAGUAAAAAAUACAAGCCUUUCAAAAUUUUUAUCUGAAUCACUUAUGAAAAAAGGACACAUUUUAGCUGAUUCUUCAAAAAGACAAAACACAUAUACCUACUUAAAUCUACCUUCAGUAAAUCAAAGUGGACAUGUUCUUCCCUCUUGUAGUUGUUUUAAAUCUGUUGUCUUAUGCAAUUGCUAUCGCUCAAUUACAUCCUACAAAAGUAUGUUUAAAGAGUGGAUAUGGGGAUAUUUAUUUUCAGGAUUUGCUGCAGACACAAUUAGCACAGCUAAUGUUGGUAUAAUUAUUGAUGAAUCAAUCGAUGGUCUGUUACUUUCUCUUACUCAGCGAUUUAUUUUUAACUUACUACUACUUUUGAAAAAAGAAUCCUAUAUUUCUAUUGCUACUGCUGGUAAAAGUAUAAAAUUGAUAAGUAGUUUUCAAACAUUUAAUAAUAUGGAUGAAGUUAAAGAAUAUCUGCUUAAAAUCAAUAAUGAUAAUUUACAGAUGACUGCUGAAGGUUUGCAGACAAACAAAAGUUUUCAAAUUAAUUCUGGCACUUCCCAAGUAAAUACCAGAAGUUCUCAGAUAAAUUCUGAUACUUUACAAACCAAUACUGGAAGUUCACAAAUAAAUACAGGAAUUUCACAAAUAAAUACAUCAAAUUCAAAAAAUAAUAUUGGAAAUUCACAAACCAAUAGUGAAAGUUCACAAAUCAAUACUGGAAGUUCACAAAUAAGUACUGGAAAUUUGCAAAUAAAUGCUGGAAGUUCACAAACUAGUAAUGAGAGUUCACAAAUAAAUACUGGAAGUUCACAAAUAUAUGCUGAAAGUUUACAAAUUAAUAUUAACAAUGUUUUAACACAGUAUUACUCAAGUUUUGAGAAAGUUCAGAAUAAUGGAAAUAAAAACAUUUUGUUUCUUUUUCUAAAUAAAAGAAAAAGUGAAAGUGAAAUAAAAAUAGAAAUUCAAUCAAAAUAUAGAGAUAUUAAUAUAUUUGUGAUAAAAUAUGGCUCACAGUCAUCAAUUUCGAAUCUUAAAUUUUUAACUAAUGAGUCCAAAAUUUUUAUAAUAAAUCUUUCAAAUGAAUUGCUUGAACAAAACAUGGUUGACAGUCUUAUGAAAUAUGAACCAGUUUUUCUUGCUAUCAAAAGAAGCAUUUAUAAAUUUUUAAGUUCUGAGGAUAAUCAAGGAAAUGGAUUAUCAGUUAAUCCAUCAUCUAAGUCUUCUCUGCAGUUAUCUUCAUCACUAUUUCAAUCAGAUUGGUGGUACAAAGAAUGGAACUGGAAUAAAUAUAUGAAAAAUCUGAACUAUGAAGGAAUUGGACCAACAAACUUAGCCUUUGUUGUAGAUGGGACUAACAGUCGCUAUAUAAUUUUUAUUCAACGACUAGUUUUUAACUAUAUCAGGUUAUUCCAACUUCAGGGAACUUUUGUUACAAUCGCAGUCUAUGGAAAGAGUUCAUAUGUUAUUACAAAAUGGAAAAUGUUUACUACUCCCCAGGAUGUUCAGAAAAGUUGUGAGUCUAUUCCCCUUAUACAAGGGCAUUUUCGAGAAACUGCUGAUGCAUUAGAAAAUAUCUAUUCAUUGUUUUUAACACAAAAAAAAAACAAUAAUAAUCCUUGUGUAUUGGUUCUUAUCGUUACUGGAUCUUCAGAAAAACACAAACAGUUAAAUGUAAUUGGAGGACAAAUCAGAGCGGCAGGAGUCAGGGUAUACACCAUGGCAAUUGCUUCUGGUAAAGCAUCAACCUAUCAAGAAAUUAAUGAAGUAGCAUAUUCAGAAAAAGAGCAGUAUGUUGGUUCUCCUAAUAAUCUGGUCACUAUGUUAAGUGCAGUGAAAUUAUCUCUAGUUGAAUUUAUUGGAAGAAGCCAAGUAAAAGAAAUUGAAAACUUGAAUGAAGGUUUUAGAAGGCUACAAACAUUGUGGAACUGGAGAUCUAUUUCAAAUAAUAUACAAUAUGGGUACAUAAGUCAAGCUAAUGUAGGCAUUCUUGUUGAUGGAACUAUUGAAGAAGAAUAUUUUGAUACAAUCCGAAGGUUAGUUUACAAUAUUAUGAAAUGCUACUCACUAGCAGGCACACACUUUAAUGUUGCAUCUUAUGCUACUUCAACCUAUGAAACAACUUCUUUUCGACAGUACAGAAGUGGUAAUGAUAUAAAAAAGUUUGCUAAGAUAAUUCCAAAACUUUAUUUUGGUAAACGAAAUACAGGUGGAGCCAUGUGGGCAAUGUUAAAUGCACUAAGUGAUGCUCCUCCAGAUAAUCCAAGUAUUGUCUAUAUUAUUACUGCUGGCCCAUCAGCAGAUGAUGUUAUUGCUCCUUCAAAAGCAUUUAGAAUGUAUGGUAUUAUAGCUUUUGCGUGCAGUUUAAAUGGUAGAACACCUAUGUCAGAAUUGUCUUCAAUGUCAUUUACUUCAAGUACUGUCUUCUCUAGUCCAUUUGAUGGUUUGAUAAAUCUAGUUAUUUCUAUGACAACUGCUGCUUCUGAAAUUAUUGGAACUGUAUCAAAGGCAUGCGGCCCAUCAGGCCAUUUAAUAAGUACAAAUACAGAUAUUAUGAGAUCAUGGCAAUGGCAAUCAGCAGAAACUUCUUUCUCCUAUUCAUCUGUUAAUCCUGCAGAAGUUGGUUUUCUGAUAGAUAGCACAAGCAGUAUACAUUUUGACCUCCUCCAAAAAUUUACUUACAACAUUUUCAAAUUAUUUGCUGAAAAUUCAACUGCUGCUAUAGUGACAUAUGGGGGUACAGUUGAUCUAAGUCUUGGAAUAUUCAGACAGUACACUGAUAACUAUGCACUACAAACUGCAUGCUCCACCAUCUUUUAUAAAGGAGAAGCUGGUCGACGAAUUGGCAGUGCUCUUUCAUCUUUUCAUAAACUUUUUCCUCGUGUUGGAAAAAAAAUAUUGUUUCUUAUUACCAUGGGUAAAUCAGAAGAUGAUGUAAAUAACUCUGCAAAACAAUUAGCAUUAUCAGGUGUUUCUAUUUUUACAAUUGGAAUUGGAGAAGAAGUAGAAAAGAAUGAACUGAAAUCCAUAUCCAGACUGGAACAAUCUAAUCACUGUAGUUGCAAGCAUUCAAAAUUCUCUAACUAAAGUAUUUGGAAGUUCAGUGGCUUCAGUCGCACAAAAUGUCAAACUUUACGAUAAUGGUGUUUAUCUUGGAAAAAUGCCUCCAUUAAAUGAUCCAUGGGAUAAUGUUGUUUUUAAUAACGUGACUGAUUUGAAAUUAAAAUGGAAUUGGAAUAACUUACUGUCAAAAAUAAAAUA